CCAAUCAGAUCCUACGUCUUGCCCUAUUCAGGGCCAUGGCACCAUCCCUGUUACAACAGGCUCACCUAACGU
rnacentral:sRNA from 1 species